CUGCCUCUUUGUUUGAGACGGGAGAGGAAGGACCGACAGGUGCGGCGGACCUGAGAUUCGGAGUGCUGCUGCUGUACAUGAGUGUUCUGCAGACGCGCUGUUUCUGUGUCUGCGGUGUUAGAUCCGUAACCCUUGCUGUGAAGAGCCGUUUUCCAAUCACCUACCACUCUGAAUGAGAAGUGCAGUCACUGCUAUAUGUUGGUCUAAUACCCCAUGCUUUUAAAUACUGUGGCUAUUGGCUGGCUUUAAUUUACCCUCCUUGUUUUUAGUAAAACGUUGUAUUUUAUUGUAUAGUUUAAUUAAACUGAUUUUAUGUAAACAUUAGAUCAUUGUAAUAAAGUUUUGAACUUUU